UCCCAGGUAGUUAAAAUGCUGAAAAGGGAG
rnacentral:piRNA from 1 species